UCAAUAGCUAGCAACUGUUGUACGCUUGCCAUGAAUUUCACUUAACAAAGUAAACCUGACGUCAAGUGAUAGCUGGGGACUAUGUACACGUCAGCUCAUUCCCACGAUAAGCAGUUUUUGCUGUUAAUGCUGUGCACUGGCCAUGAAUGUGUCUGUGUUUAUUGGAAUCUGACGUCAAGGGGCUACCCUGGGAUUUAUACCUCACAUGAUAAGCUGAUUAAUGGAAUGAAUCAAUUAGUGUGCAGUGUGUGUUUGUAUCAGGAUCAACUGCUGAUGGAUGUCAUGUGAUAUUUACUUUACACUGUCACUGGAUAUAAUAUGUUCACUGGAGAAUCUCAUUGUGUCAUUGAAAUUAUUGCUUUUAUUAUAAAGCACCAGGCAUCAGUACAAGGCAACUGAUUUUGAUGGGGUCAUUACUGUUCUUGCUAUAUAGAGAGC